rnacentral:rRNA from 1 species
GUGGGGAAUAUUGCGCAAUGGGGGGAACCCUGACGCAGCAACGCCGCGUGAAGGAAGAAGGUCUUCGGAUUGUAAACUUUUGUCUUCAGGGAAGAAGAAGUGACGGUACCUGAGGAGGAAGCUCCGGCUAACUACGUGCCAGCAGCCGCGGUAAUACGUAGGGAGCGAGCGUUGUCCGGAAUUACUGGGUGUAAAGGGUGCGUAGGCGGGUAUGCAAGUCACAUGUGAAAUACCGGGGCUCAACUCCGGGGCUGCAUGAGAAACUGUAUAUCUUGAGUGCAGAAGAGGUAAGCGGAAUUCCUAGUGUAGCGGUGAAAUGCGUAGAUAUUAGGAGGAACACCAGUGGCGAAGGCGGCUUACUGGGCUGUAACUGACGCUGAGGCACGAAAGCGUGGGGAGCAAACAGGA